AUCAAAUGAAUGCAAAGUUUAUGUUAGUAGUAUCAUAUACUCUUGUUUUAAAAACCAUUUUAUAAGCAUAGUGGGAGUAUUAUAUACAACUAAAUUCAAUCAAAUGGACCAAUAGUUGUAAUAGGACCAAAAUUGUUUUAAUAAAGAUUAAAAUGAAUAUUUAUAUAUGAUGAGACCUAAAACCCUCAACCAAACCAUUAUUAAGUUGAUAAGCGAGAGAUACUUUGAACAUCUCUUCGUAGGCCUUCCACCAUGGUAGGCUUCAAUCGUUUGUGACUCAUACACCGUAUUCGUCCAGUUCUGGGGUAUGCAAAGUAUGUGCUUACAUUCAGGAGAAGCCUAUAAACAUAUGAUGAAGUGAAAGGUAGGCAACGAGUAUGGUCAAUAUGAUAUUCUUUUGAGGCCAUUCUUGAACCCCUACUUGAACUAGCAUGGUGGGAAUGACUUAACUAAGUACAAUGGGGUCAAUAUGAUAUUCUUCUAAGGCAUCAUUUUCUAGAGGCCAAAUUAGAUGGGUAAUUACAAAAGUUGUA
rnacentral:lncRNA from 1 species